rnacentral:rRNA from 1 species
UCCGGCGACCGGCGCACGGGUGAGUAACACGUAUGCAACCUGCCCUCUUCAGGGGGACAACCUUCCGAAAGGGAGGCUAAUCCCGCGUAUAUCGGUUUCGGGCAUCCGAGAUCGAGGAAAGAUUCAUCGGAAGAAGGAUGGGCAUGCGGCGCAUUAGCUAGACGGCGGGGUAACGGCCCACCGUGGCGACGAUGCGUAGGGGUUCUGAGAGGAAGGUCCCCCACACUGGUACUGAGACACGGACCAGACUCCUACGGGAGGCAGCAG